rnacentral:rRNA from 1 species
GACAUAGGUGACGAACGUUAUCCGGAAUUAUUGGGCGUAAAGGAUGCGUAGAUGGUUCGAUAAGUUACUGGUGGGAAAUCGAGGCCCAACCUCGUGGAAGCUGGUAAUACUGUCGAGCUUGAGUGCAGGAGAGGUUAACGGAACUUUAUGUGGAGCGGUAAAAUGCGUAGAUAUAUGAAAGAACACCGAUAUAGCGAAGGCAGUUAACUAGUCUGCUACUGACAUUGAGGCAUGAAAGCGUGGGGAGCAAAACGG